AACGUAUACUUAUAUAAUAAUAUGUAAUCAUAUGCUUCACUGGGGACGAAUAGGAACAAGAAGAACCAUGAAUAUGAUGGGGUUGCGAGCCCCAUGCCUAUCCCUCCUCCUUCAUGUGGGCUUGGGGCCAGCAGGUUACCCAGGGGUUUCCAGGCGGAGUUCUCGUUUAUCACUAGAGUCUUAAAUUGCUAUGUGUAGAUGAUCAUGCAUGUGCACAAAUAAUGAACACGAAUUGUGCAUGCGCUACAACUACAUUUUAUGCUAAAAUAUCAUUGAGUUUUAUUUGCAUUGCUCUCUUAAAAUCAGCUUAACAUAUCAAGUGCUGUACUUGUGGUGCCUUCUGUGAAGAAUACAUAGAAUUUCUGCAAAUGUGUGUACAUGUUCAGUUAUACUGAUAAAGAUGCCAACUUAUCAGUGUCAGUAUAUCCCAGUUUACAAGCAGGUGAUGGUUUAUUUGUCAUACUGAGGCUAAGAUAGGAGACAAUGAAAAUGAAGGUCACUUUUUGUAUCCCCAUUUCAAAGGGAAAGAAUUGUAUAAUGUGGAUUAUAUUAAAAGUCACCAUAAUACAUUAUUUAAUUGCCAGAGACCUGUUACUGAGUGAUAAAAAUUAUGCCCUGUAUAAUAUAUCAACUUGCACUUAAUAAUGCCUCCUAAGAAUGUAUAGAAUAUAUGCACAACUAGAUACAAAGUGCUCUCUUGUGAUGUAGUUUGCACUGUGGAUUGUGUUUUACUAUGCACUUAAAGUUUCAUGUGGGUGUGCUGUAUGGUGACACACUUUUCUGUUAUGUUUCUGCCUAAAUAUAUCUGCUUCCUCCCCCUCCCACCCACAAGUUAGUCUGAGUACUUGUGAAUUUCAUGCAGUUCUCUAUCUAAAUGAGUGCUCGUUACAGCAUACCAAAAUGAAUAAAGUGCUGUUGAUAUCAUAUCAAGACUUGCUUUCUGUAGUAUUGUAGGCUUGGCUUGAAGUUAGCUGCAAUAUAGGGCUUAAAAACAGUCCACACACUCUCUCUCUUUUUUUUUUUUUAUCUCCUUCCCUCACACAACCACAACAAUAUUUGUAACUUUUUUUCCAAAAAUUUGUAACAAUUCAACUUCAAGGUAAUUUUAAAAUACCUUAUUGAAAAAGCAAGUUGAUUUUCUGGUGACAUCAAGUCAAACCAACAUAAAGUGAAAACAUUAUUUUCAACUGACUAAUGUUAAAAAAAAAA